GGAAUUUUGGACAAUGGGCGCAAGCCUGAUCCAGCCAUGCCGCGUGAGUGAAGAAGGCCUUCGGGUUGUAAAGCUCUUUCGGCGGGGACGAAACGGUCCGUGCUAAUACCACGGACUACUGACGGUACCCGCCGAAGAAGCACCGGCUCACUACGUGCCAGCAGCCGCGGUAAUACGUAGGGUGCGGGCGUUAAUCGGAAUUACUGGGCGUAAAGCGUGCGCAGGCGGUUGUGUAAGACAGGUGUGAAAUCCCCGGGCUUAACCUGGGAACUGCGCUUGUGACUGCACGGCUAGAGUACGGCAGAGGGGGGUGGAAUUCCACGUGUAGCAGUGAAAUGCGUAGAUAUGUGGAGGAACACCGAUGGCGAAGGCAGCCCCCUGGGCCGAUACUGACGCUCAUGCACGAAAGCGUGGGGAGCAAAC
rnacentral:rRNA from 1 species